GAUGAACGCUGGCGGCGUGCUUAACACAUGCAAGUCGAACGGAAAGGCCUGUUUCGGGGGGUACUCGCGUGGCGAACGGGCGAGUAACACGUGAGUAACCUGCCCUUGUCUUUGGGUUAACUACCGUCAACUGGGGCUAAUACCGGCUAGGUGAUCCUGCUGACUGGUGGGUGUUGGAGUGUUUCGGCGGUUUGGGAUGGGUUCGCGGUUUAUCCGCUUGUUGUUGGGGUGGUGGCUUACCAAGGCGUUGCCGGGUAGACGGCCUGUGAGGGUGAGCCACCGCAUUGGGACCGAGAGACGGCCCAGGCACCUACGGGAGGCAGCAGGGGGGAAGAUUGCACAAUGGGUGGAAGCCUGAUGCUGCAACGCCGUGUGCGGGAUGACGGUCUUCGUAUUGUAAACCGCAUUCGCUCAUGACGAAGCUUGGUGUGACGGUAGUUGGUAAAGAAGCACCGGCUAACUACGUG
rnacentral:rRNA from 1 species